rnacentral:rRNA from 1 species
GCGUAACAAGGUCUCCGUUGGUGAACCAGCGGAGGGAUCAUUGCUGGAACGCGCCCUAGGCGCACCCAGAAACCCUUUGUGAACUUAUACCUUACUGUUGCCUCGGCGCAUGCUGGCCCCCUCGGGGCCCCCUGGAGACAGGGAGCAGGCACGCCGGCGGCCAAGUUAACUCUUGUUUUUACACUGAAACUCUGAGAAAAAACACAAAUGAAUCAAAACUUUCAACAACGGAUCUCUUGGUUCUGGCAUCGAUGAAGAACGCAGCGAAAUGCGAUAAGUAAUGUGAAUUGCAGAAUUCAGUGAAUCAUCGAAUCUUUGAACGCACAUUGCGCCCUCUGGUAUUCCGGAGGGCAUGCCUGUUCGAGCGUCAUUUCAACCCUCAAGCAUUGCUUGGUGUUGGGGCACUGCUUUUAACGAAGCAGGCCCUGAAAUCUAGUGGCGAGCUCGCCAGGACCCCGAGCGCAGUAGUUAAACCCUCGCUUUGGAAGGCCCUGGCGGUGCCCUGCCGUUAAACCCCCAACUUCUGAAAAUUGACCUCGGAUCAGGUA